AUGCUGAAGCAAUGAUCUCAUCUCUUCCUGUAUUCUCCCGCUAAAUAUUGUGGAGGAGGCCUCAUGUCACCUUAGUGACAGUGGGCGAUGAUCAGUAAUGAAGCUAAAAGGUCACCGAACACUGAGGUGCUGUGAUGGCUGGAUCCAGAGCAGUCAUAUGAGAGCAUGAGAAAAAGCACCAUUUGGAAGAUGGCCAAGGAAAAGAGUAAAGAGUCUGGAUGUCUGAUAGUCAUGAAAACUUCAUAUCUGACCUGGAGUGUUUGCAUAUACACCCCUGAGGGAAGAGAGGAAAUAAAAAGCACGUUGCCAACCUUUUCACUGAGUGAAGUCUACUGUGUGAUUUCUACCUAUUUCUAAUCCGUGAACCCUGCUGAAGAAAAGCACACGAGCAAACAUAUGAGUAAUAUCUUACAAGCCUCUCUACAAAAUAAAUCUCCCACCCUCUGCUAUGCUAAAAGAAGAGUCAUGAACAAGCUGAUCAGUAAUGUUUUACCUGAAGCUGCAGAGAAUCCUGUGAAGAAUGUAUAAUCAUCGGCAUUUUGCUUACUUCCACACCAACAGAAGGAAAUGUACACGUCUACGCCCUGAAGAAUUGACUCUGUUCUGUAAAUGACAUAUGGGAGAAUCCUUUUGGAAAAUAAAUACUCCUGUUUUCAUGCUGAA